AUUGCCCUUUUCUUGUAAUAUUACUAAGAUAUUCGUAAACUGAUGCAGACUUUUUCAGUUUAACCAUUUGUUUUCUGUCCUUUCCUUUGUUCUUGGGCAGCCAGGAGUGACUGAGGAAUAUCACAUAUCCCACCUGGGGGUGGGGGAUGUGGUACCUUAUCCUUUGCCUUCAGCCUGCCUUAUGGUUCCUCAACUCCAAAACCCCAUCAUGAAUUACAGGCUAUAGUGCUGCUAGCUCCAGGAUGGAUAAACAUUUGCCUAAACUUAUAGUAAUUUAAAUAUCAAAUAUCAAUCUUUCCUUGAGGUAAAUUACACCUCAUGGAAUGCUUAUGGAAACUGGAUGGCCAAAGAAGGAAUUGAGGAUUGAGGACCAUGAACUCUUUCAGAAGCUUAAUUAUUCUAUUCAACAGUAUCACAAGAUCCAAAUAAGUAUGGAAGAGGGAGGAAAAACUAUAGUUAAAUUGAUUUAAAAAUACAUAUAUGACCAGACAUGUCAGGGAUUGUUUUGAAUGGCUACAAUAUGUCUUUCCUUCCCAUGGUGUGGUCUCCUCCUGUUACGGAACCAGGCUGGCACGCUGGCAGAAAAACCAAGCAGCACUCGGAGAUCUUGGUGGAUCAGAGAUUUAUUUAACACCAGUUGGCUCAGAGGAGACCGUUUCUCCAAAGAUCUGAGCGCCGAAUGCAAGUGGGAAUGGCUGCAUGUGCCAAAGAACAAGGGAGGAGGGACUGAAAGUGUCUGCAACUCCUUAGGCAAUUUAUUUUCAUAAAUCGUCUGCUGUAAGUGCCCUCAGUGUGCCUUUCGGUCAGACACUUGCUCUUGAAAGGACAUCGAUUAAAGCCUUGCUUCAGAUG